CUGAGUUGAGAUAGCUUUACGGUUGGGACUUUCCCUGUGCUUGAUGGCAGCAUAUAAAUUUUGUAGGAUGUACAAUGAUACAAAAUAAAGGCCUAAAGCGCAAAACUAACCAUCUCAAGGCCACCAUGGAUGGUUUGAGGGUUGUGCACCGCCCAAGAGCAACACAGAUGGUCCUUUGUUGUACAUUCUUCUGGAUGAAUUUUGGGACUUUAUUCCUCCAUGACGCUUCUCAAAUGUUGUAGGAACACAUUUUUCCCUCUCCAUCGCUCCCCACUGAUCUCCUUCCCCAGCACACACACCUUUGAAAGAGUGAAUGAGUCUGUGUUUUUUAACUGUUGGCAUGUAAUCUUAGAGCAAUAGACUAUGAAUUAGCCUUAAUAAAUAAUGUA